AUGGAAGGCUCUUUUCCUCACUUUUCUCAUCUGUGCUCUUCUGGGUUCGGUUGUGUUCAUCCUCUACAAAUACAGAGAGAAACUAACAGGGAAGAAACCAGCUAAAGAAAUUUGUGAGGAGGAAACUAUGGAGAGACUGACAAAAGAAGGAACAAAUGCAGAAGAACCGAAGAAAGUACCAG